rnacentral:rRNA from 1 species
UACGGAGGGUGCAAACGUUGCUCGGAAUCAUUGGGCGUAAAGCGCACGUAGGCGGUCCGGCAAGUCGGGUGUGAAAGCCCUCGGCUUAACCGAGGAACUGCACUCGAUACUGGCUGGCUUGAGUCCGGGAGGGGAUGGUGGAAUUCCCAGUGUAGCGGUGAAAUGCGUAGAUAUUGGGAAGAACACCGGUGGCGAAGGCGACCAUCUGGACCGGAACUGACGCUGAGGCGCGAAAGCCAGGGGAGCGAAUGGG